CCUACGGGGAGGCAGCAGUGAGGAAUUUUGCGCAAUGGGGGAAACCCUGACGCAGCGACGCCGCGUGGAGGAUGAAGGCCUUCGGGUUGUAAACUCCUUUUGUGGGGGACAAUGGUGAUGGUACCCCAUGAAUAAGCCACGGCUAACUCUGUGCCAGCAGCCGCGGUAAGACAGAGGUGGCAAGCGUUGUUCGGAAUCACUGGGCUUAAAGGGCGUGUAGGCGGCAUUGCAAGUCUGGGGUGGAAUCCGGUGGCUUAACCACCGAACUGCCCUGGAAACUGCAUUGCUUGAGUCAGUGAGGGGAGGGCGGAAUUCCCGGUGUAGCAGUGAAAUGCGUAGAUAUCGGGAGGAAGGCCGGUGGCGAGGGCGGCCCUCGGGCGCUUGACUGACGCUGAGGCGCGAAAGCGGGGGGAGCAAACAGGAUUAGAUCCCUUGGUAGU
rnacentral:rRNA from 1 species